AAUGUUGCUGAAGUUUCUCAUUUGCAAAAUUAAUGCAGAACUGCUCAAAACUGAGGAUAGUAAUAAUGGUAAAGAAAAAUUAGGCACAGAAGAUUAUGCCAAUCAAGGCCAAUAAUGUAACAGGGAAUAUUCAAAAACAACUAUACAAACAAACAUCUUAGAAACACAUUAUUUUGGUAGUAACAAACUUAGAAAGAAAAUUAUCAACAAAGGGGAAGCACCUACACAGUUUGUACAGAAGAGAAUAAGAAAGAACACCCUAAAUAAAAAUACAAGUUUGAAAAGACAUAUUCUGUUGAAACUCUUCACUUCUGUUGUGUAAGAAUGAUGAAGAAGAAACUCCUUCCAAACACCAUACGAGAUUGCAUCUCAUGCCAUAGCAAUAUCAAGGGUUAACACAGUUUUAAACAAGACAUAUUACCUAUUAUGUUUAAAGCAUUCAAAGCCAUAAAUGUCCAAUACUCCAAUUUGAAUCUGAGAAGUCAGAUCUUGCCCAACAGACCUAUUAAUCUUAUCAACAAGCCUAAAAGAAACGUUGAAACCAAACAAAUUCAGAUUGUCACAAGAACUCCAGAUAAAGAAAAAGGCACAAGCCCUUCAUUCAAAAUAAGAAUAACCCACAUACCAAUCAAAAAGUCUAGCAUAAACUGUCUUUGCCAAGGCAUCCCUACUAGCAACAGCAGCAUUACAGUCGAGAGCUUUUACAAUACUUCCUUCACGGGUUUGAAUUGUACGAGUACAUAAAGUCGCCAGCAAGAGGUUGACAUCACACAUAAAAAGACUAGCUGCCAUCUGCAUAUGAAAGCUAGACUUCUGAUCCUUUACAAUUGAAGAAUCAUGUUCUUUGCCAGGAGAAAAUUCAAUAUUUCCAAGAUGAAGAAUUGCAGCCAAGGUGCGAAAUAUAGCCUCCUGAUCUUCAUGACUGAUACCAACAAUCUCCAUUGCCCUCCUCGUCUUUAUGUACUCCUCCGCAUUGCUAAUUCCAUCUAAUUCAUAAGUCUUACUUUGAUUUAAGUAAUGAAAGCGGCUUGGAUGAUCCAAUUUGUACUUUUCUGCAUCCAUCCCAGAUGCACACAAUUGAUAAAAGCAAUGGUAGUUCCUUUCAGGAUCUGUUAUCUGAACUACACGAGACCGUUCCAGCAGGUAUGUUCUAAUAGCAGCACCAGAUAUUCGACCAUUUCCAUCAAACUGGAUCUCAACAAACUUUCCAAAACGACUUGAGUUGUCAUUUCUGACAGUCCUUGCAUUACCAAAUGCCUCCAACAGUGGAUUUGAUUCAAGAACUUGUUGUUCAACUGUUCUAUCAUCACCAGAGGCUCGACCACCAACAUAAGUGAGAUACUGCAUAAUCAAUUUUGUCGUCUCAGUUUUUCCAGCCCCACUUUCUCCACUAACCAGUAUAGAUUGGCUUCUACCUUCACUCAUCAUCGCUCUAUAUGAUGCAUCUGCAACAGCAAAAACAUGAGGACUUAGCUCACCAAAUGGUGCUCCUUUAUACUGCUCCAUCAUAUGCACGUUGUAAAGAUGAGGAAGCUUGGUGAAUGGAUUAACAGCUAUCAAAAUGCUUCCUGUGUAUGUAUAAAUAUCAUUAAGAGCAUAUCUCCUUUCGAGAUUGUAAAGGACUCCAGGCUCGUGCAAGUAAGUCAACUUCGUCAUAUCAUCCACUCCUCCAUGCUCCUCCUCAUCAUCAUCCCUAAGAAACAGCUUCUCCGGAGAAGCCAAAACCUUCUUGCCAGAAGCAGUGAGGACUUGAACAUUCUUUCCAACAAAAUCAGUAACUUCAGCAGCAACCCACGCCAAAUUCUUAUCUGGUGCCCAAACCUUAGUGCCCUUGCGUAGAUUCAUCUUGGGUUCCCAAUGAACGAAAAUCGAAACCAGAGCUUAAUAAAUAAAAACCCUAGAGAAGGGAAUUGCAGGUGAUAAAAACAAGAGAAACCCUAACAAACCCGAAAGAACAAUUUGAGGGAGGAAAUUUUCGAGUUCCCGCCCUCAGCAGGCAUAUAGACAGAGAGAAAGACAGAGAGAGAGAGAG
rnacentral:misc_RNA from 1 species